UACGGAGGGUGCAAGCGUUAUCCGGAUUCACUGGGUUUAAAGGGUGCGUAGGCGGUUUUUUUAAGUCAGUGGUGAAAGCUCGCAGCUUAACUGUGAAACUGCCAUUGAAACUGAAAGACUUGAGUAUAAUUGAAGUGGGCGGAAUACAUCAUGUAGCGGUGAAAUGCUUAGAUAUGAUGUAGAACACCGAUUGCGAAGGCAGCUCACUAAAUUGUAACUGACGCUGAGGCACGAAAGCGUGGGUAGCGAACAGG
rnacentral:rRNA from 1 species